ACGAAGGGUGCAAGCGUUACUCGGAAUUACUGGGCGUAAAGCGUGCGUAGGUGGUUUGUUAAGUCUGUUGUGAAAGCCCCGGGCUCAACCUGGGAAUGGCAAUGGAUACUGGCAAGCUAGAGUGCGGUAGAGGGUAGUGGAAUUCCCGGUGUAGCGGUGAAAUGCGUAGAGAUCGGGAGGAACACCAGUGGCGAAGGCGGCUCUUUGGUCUGUAACUGACGCUGAGGCGCGAAAGCGUGGGGAGCAAACAGGA
rnacentral:rRNA from 1 species